UUUAAUAAGUUGGGAGAAUGCUCUUGAAGAAAAAAAAUAGUCGUUGAAGAUUCAUUAGAGGAAGAAAAAAAAACCUACUUGAUUCUCCAUGGAAUUCACAGUUUCCUUGCUGUGGAAUGCUGCACAUACCCUGAGGUCCUAGCAAGGAGUCAGAGUGAGACAGCCACUCACCAGCGGAAAGAGAAUUUUAUGUUCUCAGGCACAGCCCAGAAUGAUGAAAGUGUGUACACCCGGCAGUACUUCCAGUAUCCCCGUGGACUGGGGAUUCCAAGAUAAACAACGCCUCACGCAGCUUGACUGGACUCAGCUGGGUAGUUCUCGACUGGGAUCUUCAUGAAGUUACAGUCAUUUGGCAACCAGAACUGGAGUCAUCUGAAGAAUUGGAUGGGCUGCGUGUUCAAGAGAGCUACUUUACUCACAUUACUGGGCCAACAGGGCUUGACCUUUAAACUGAAGACCCAUGGAGGUCAAACUUCAGGUCGAAAUCCAGAGUGGAGGUGAAGAGAGAAGGCCAAUUCGUGGGCGCCAGGGUUUCUGAGAGUGGGAAGAGGCCAUCCAGAGAAAUUCCGUGACCCCCAACUCACUCUCUGGAUUCAACAAAAUAGUAACAAUUAGAAGAGAACACAAAAAAGAAGCACCCGGCCAUGGAGGGAAUGAACUUUUACCUGGACCUCACAAGAGGAAAACAAAUGAUCCAGCUCCUCAAAAUCUGAUAGCGGCACCAAAAUAAAUUCAAGUCUUUGCUUCUUUCAAAACACUGACAUACUGAUCCUUCGAACGACAUAUGUUUAAGAACAACCAAGAGGAGGAAAAAAUCCCCCUGCAACAUUUGUCUUCUGAACUUUGAGCUGAUUAUUUUUCUUCCACAUGGCCUGGGGUCUUAGAAAGGACACCCUUUUGGUAAGAUGGAACAUGACAUCGGCAAGUUCGAGCUACUGGUGACAUGGACAGGAAAAAGGAUUGUGCUUAGAGAAAGCAGUUUCAGCCAAAGAGAAAUAUCAGGGAGUCAAAUAGAGAAAGGAAACCAAAUCAUAAUGCGUUCUCAUUAAAAAUUGGCCAAGUCUCUUACAAUUCAAAGUUGACCAGAUAGAAUGUUCUCUCCUCAUGAAUCUGUGCAGUCAGACCUCAGAAUGUGUUGACACUAUGGAAGAUAGAAUAUGCUGAAACCCAAAAUAAAGCUGAGAAGCAAAAGUUAGGUCUAAAAAAGAAAAAACAAGUAGUCUUCAAAAAGAUUAGAGGCAAAACUUGGUGGGCAGAAAAUAUGACCAUUUCUUCUGAAAAACAGAGCAAAAUAAAAAAUGCGGGAGACACCCAUUAAGGAGCCCAUCCCUAAUCAUUCUUAUCAGCAUCAAGCUGAUCUCAGGAUUCUCCCUCUGGCGUAGCCUUGACCACAAUUUCUCUCUCAAAACAGAGCCACUUCGGCACGGUUAGUUCUGAAAAGCCUUUCUUGAUUGUUUCCACAGAAAUGAACAAAAAUUUAUCCUUAGUUCAUAUUGAGACCUUUAGGACAAGGACCUCAGCUCCACAGUUCCUGAGUGGUUAUUCUGUAAUUUUCUAACGUGA